GUUACUAUAGCAAAGAGGAUACACCUGUUCCCAUUCCGAACACAGAAGUUAAGCUCUUUAGCGCUGAUGGUACUUGUGGGGCAACCUCCUGGGAGAGUAAGACG
rnacentral:rRNA from 1 species